rnacentral:rRNA from 1 species
AGUGAACGCUGGCGGUAGGCCUAACACAUGCAAGUCGAACGGCAGCACAGUAAGAGCUUGCUCUUACGGGUGGCGAGUGGCGGACGGGUGAGGAAUACAUCGGAAUCUACUUUUUCGUGGGGGAUAACGUAGGGAAACUUACGCUAAUACCGCAUACGACCUACGGUUGAAAGCAGGGGAUCUUCGGACCUUGCGCGAUUGAAUGAGCCGAUGUCGGAUUAGCUAGUUGGCGGGGUAAAGGCCCGCCAAGGCGACGAUCCGUAGCUGGUCUGAGAGGAUGAUCAGCCACACUGGAACUGAGACACGGUCCAGACUCCUACGGGAGGCAGCAGUGGGGAAUAUUGGACAAUGGGCGCAAGCCUGAUCCAGACAUACCGCGUGGGUGAAGAAGGCCUUCGGGUUGUAAAGCCCUUUUGUUGGGAAAGAAAAGCAGCAGGUUAAUACCCCGCUGUUCUGACGGUACCCAAAGAAUAAGCACCGGCUAACUUCGUG